GCUGGCGGCGCACAUAAGACAUGCAAGUCGAACGGACUUAACCAUUAGUUUACUAUUGGAGCGGUUAGUGGCGGACUGGUGAGUAACACGUAAGCAACCUGCCUAUCAGAGGGGAACAACAGUUAGAAAUGACUGCUAAUACCGCAUAUGCCUUAAUUACCACAUGGUAAUAGAGGGAAAGGAGUAAUCCGCUGAUAGAUGGGCUUGCGUCUGAUUAGAUAGUUGGUAAGGUAACGGCUUACCAAGUCGACGAUCAGUAGCCGGACUGAGAGGUUGAACGGCCACAUUGGGACUGAGAUACGGCCCAGACUCCUACGGGAGGCAGCAGUCGGAAAUAUUGCGCAAUGGAGGAAACUCUGACGCAGUGACGCCGCGUGCAGGAAGAAGGUUUUCGGAUUGUAAACUGCUUUAGACAGGGAAGAAACAAGACAGUACCUGUAGAAUAAGCUCCGGCUAACUACGUGCCAGCAGCCGCGGUAAUACGUAGGGAGCAAGCGUUAUCCGGAUUUAUUGGGUGUAAAGGGUGCGUAGACGGGAAUGCAAGUUGGUUGUGAAAUCCCUCGGCUCAACCGAGGAAUUGCAACCAAAACUAUAUUUCUUGAGUGCUGGAGAGGAAAGUGGAAUUCCUAGUGUAGCGGUGAAAUGCGUAGAUAUUAGGAGGAACACCAGUGGCGAAGGCGACUUUCUGGACAGUAACUGACGUUGAGGCACGAAAGUGUGGGGAGCAAACAGGAUUAGAUACCCUGGUAGUCCACACCGUAAACGAUGGAUACUAGGUGUAGGGGAUGAAUAAUCUUCUGUGCCGUCGCAAACGCAGUAAGUAUCCCACCUGGGGAGUACGGCCGCAAGGUAGAAACUCAAAGGAAUUGACGGGGGCCCGCACAAGCAGUGGAGUAUGUGGUUUAAUUCGACGCAACGCGAAGAACCUUACCAGGGCUUGACAUAUACAUGAAAAUCUAAGAGAUUAGAUCCCUCUUCGGAGCAUGUAUACAGGUGGUGCAUGGUUGUCGUCAGCUCGUGUCGUGAGAUGUUGGGUUAAGUCCCGCAACGAGCGCAACCCCUGUUCUUAGUUGCCAGCAUGUAAAGAUGGGAACUCUAAGAAGACUGCCGGUGAUAAAUCGGAGGAAGGUGGGGACGACGUCAAAUCAUCAUGCCCUUUAUGUCCUGGGCUACACACGUACUACAAUGGCUGUAACAAAGGGAAGCGAACCCGCGAGGGGAAGCAAAACCCAUAAAAGCAGUCUCAGUUCGGAUUGAAGGCUGAAAUUCGCCUUCAUGAAGCCGGAAUUGCUAGUAAUGGCAGGUCAGCAUACUGCCGUGAAUACGUUCCCGGGCCUUGUACACACCGCCCGUCACACCAUGAGAGUUGGGGAUACCCGAAGCCUGUGAGCUAACUGUAAAGAGGCAGCAGUCGAAGGUAGAAUCAAUGAUUGG
rnacentral:rRNA from 1 species